ACAGAAGGCUACGGUCACAGUGGUCCAACAGAGACUGGAAAAUUGAACUCCAAGUGUCAGACUGAGUUAGCAGGGUUGUUCGAAGAGAGCCUUCUACUCCAUGGGCCUAAUUGUGACUGGGAAAUACGCUGUCUAAUACAGGGUCACCUGGCAAGACGAUAAAUGGGCCUCUUAUUCAUAAACCGUGACCACAAAAUUUUAAUGAGGACAUCAUGAAUGAAGAUCAGAAUUAUCCCAAGGGCUCAGGGAAAUGAUUUCAACCUUUCUGGGAGCACUUCCUAUUCAUUUGCGAAGGCCUUGAUGAGAUAAAAGCAUUUGACACCCGAGAGCCACAAAAAUGAUGGAGAGGACAGAGGCCUGGUUUACGAGGGGACAUUAGCGGCAAUAAAGCUCUGCUAAUAACCCUGGGUGAGGCAAGCACCCGGGCAGAUUACAGCUGCGUGCGCCAGCCUGAUGUGCAGGCCCUGGGAUGAGAACUUGGCCUCUGGAAGAUGGAGAAAUGUUGAAAUAUGACAUGAAUGGAGAUACAAAAAGUGAGUUUUCAGAGCUGUGCACACACAAACUAAUGCACAGCCAUGGGUAACUGGAUUUCCAACAAAACUUGGGAAGGAAAAACAAGAGACAAAAAGGAGAGAAAGAAUGAAAUAAAGAACAGAGACACCAGGGUCAAGGCAGGGACAAGCUUGGGGCAGAGGCUGCCCCCAGAGUCACAGUAUAUACUCCAAGCCUCCUGGGCCACUAGCUGCAGACUGGGCACGGACACAGAAAUGCAUACCCCAGAAGCUGAGAUAAAACCAACUCACCGAUAUGCCGGCUACUCCUGGGGGACCCACUGGGCCUCGAUCUCCCUGUUGGGAUGAAGAUACAAAUGGCUACUCAUAA